UACGGGGGGGUAAGCGUUGUUCGGAAUUAUUGGGCGUAAAGAGCGUGUAGGCGGCCAUGUAGGUCCGUUGUGAAAACUCGAGGCUCAACCUCGAGACGCCGAUGGAAACCAUGUGGCUAGAGUCCGGAAGAGGAGAGUGGAAUUCCUGGUGUAGCGGUGAAAUGCGCAGAUAUCAGGAAGAACACCCGUGGCUAAGGCGGCUCUCUAGUACGGUACUGACGCUGAGACGCGAAAAGCGUGGGGAGCGAACAGG
rnacentral:rRNA from 1 species